rnacentral:rRNA from 1 species
UUCCGUAGGUGAACCUGCGGAGGGAUCAUUACACAAAUAUGAAGGCGGGCUGGAAUCUCUCGGGGUUACAGCCUUGCUGAAUUAUUCACCCUUGUCUUUUGCGUACUUCUUGUUUCCUUGGUGGGUUCGCCCACCACUAGGACAAACAUAAACCUUUUGUAAUUGCAAUCAGCGUCAGUAACAAAUUAAUAACUACAACUUUCAACAACGGAUCUCUUGGUUCUGGCAUCGAUGAAGAACGCAGCGAAAUGCGAUAAGUAGUGUGAAUUACAGAAUUCAGUGAAUCAUCGAAUCUUUGAACGCACAUUGCGCCCUUUGGUAUUCCAAAGGGCAUGCCUGUUCGAGCGUCAUUUGUACCCUCAAGCUUUGCUUGGUGUUGGGCGUCUUGUCUCUAGCUUUGCUGGAGACUCGCCUUAAAGUAAUUGGCAGCCGGCCUACUGGUUUCGGAGCGCAGCACAAGUCGCACUCUCUAUCAGCAAAGGUCUAGCAUCCAUUAAGCCUUUUUUCAACUUUUGACCUCGGAUCAGGUAGGGAUACCCGCUGAACUUAAGCAUAUCAAUAAGCGGAGGA